UGCUCAGAACGCCAAGGGCGGCCCCCUCAAGGCUGUUUUGCUUCUGGGGAGGGGGACCGGCAGCCCUCACCCCUCUCCCACUGGACGCAGCUCAGGGCCCGGAUGAAGCACCUGCACGGGCCGGGUGAGGGCUCUGAGCAGAAAACAGCGGCAGAAAGACGGGAGUGAGACAAACACGUGAAGAGCCUCCAAACUGGUGAUCACCCCACUGACGACCCAGACAUGGGUGCAGGCGUGGGACGCACACAGCACUGUGGCAUAACGAAGCUCCAGCUUUCUGACGAGAUGACUAAAAAGCGGAACCCCAGAUGUUGAACCACCCUUGAAGCCCAGGAAUAAAGCCCAUUUGGUCAUGCUUAAUUGUAUCUAGGUCAGAGAAGAUGGCCUUAAGAUGUGAGACAAAAAAAUAAAAUCUAGACCCUUGAACAAAAGCAAAGUCCUGGAAGCUCUAGUUCAGGUUUUGGUUAAACACCUGAGUGCCAGGUGCGUGGGUAUUUAAUUCCUUUCCCGGAAGAAUGGGCCUGAGGGAGCCCAUUGGACCAAGUGUUUCGUGGACAAGGACAUCACACAAGCUGUCUUUUCUCACGUCAGGGAACAGACCUCAGCACCCUCUUCUUCCACAUGAAGUUUUAUCCUGUCUUAUUCUGUCAUUGAAUAAAGCGGUGAAAGUAGAUACCCGUGUAUGGUUUCUGAUGUUACAGGAAACACCAUUAAUGUUUCCCUAUUUCCAAUUGGUGAUAAGUUUUUUUACA